UACGGAGGGUGCAAGCGUUAUCCGGAUUCACUGGGUUUAAAGGGUGCGUAGGUGGAGUGGUAAGUCAGUGGUGAAAUCUCCAAGCUUAACUUGGAACUGCCGUUGAUACUAUCAUCCUUGAAUAUCGUGGAGGUAAGCGGAAUAUGUCAUGUAGCGGUGAAAUGCUUAGAUAUGACAUAGAACACCGAUUGCGAAGGCAGCUUGCUACACGAUCAUUGACACUGAGGCACGAAAGCGUGGGGGAUCAAAACAGG
rnacentral:rRNA from 1 species